rnacentral:rRNA from 1 species
GCAAGUCGAGCGCGCCUUUCGGGGCGAGCGGCGGACGGGUUAGUAACGCGUGGGAAUGUACCCUUUUCUACGGAAUAGCCUCGGGAAACUGAGAUUAAUACCGUAUACGCCCUUCGGGGGAAAGAUUUAUCGGAGAAGGAUCAGCUCGCGUUAGAUUAGAUAGUUGGUGGGGUAAUGGCCUACCAAGACGAUGAUGCAUAGCCGACCUGAGAGGGUGAUC